ensembl:ncRNA Y105C5B.1414 ncRNA
ACUAAUUUGCUUAUACGCAUGGUCCGACAUCUAACUGGGUUUGCGACGCACUGUGUGAGUCUCCCAGUGACCCGGUAGAUGUCGGGACACGCAUAUCCCUCACAUCAACCAUUAGUCACAGGCUUGGGAUGGAACCUGCGACCUCUGAAACGCCGACCGCCGCUACUACCACUGCGCCAUCCCAGCGCCACCCCCUCCACUUACCAAUGUAAUUAACUUUUAAUU